rnacentral:rRNA from 1 species
CAGCAGCCACGGUAAUACGAAGGGUGCUAGCGUUGCUCGGAAUUACUGGGCGUAAAGGGAGCGUAGGCGGACUGUUUAGUCAGAGGUGAAAGCCCAGGGCUCAACCUUGGAAUUGCCUUUGAUACUGGCAGUCUUGAGUACGGAAGAGGUAUGUGGAACUCCGAGUGUAGAGGUGAAAUUCGUAGAUAUUCGGAAGAACACCAGUGGCGAAGGCGACAUACUGGUCCGUUACUGACGCUGAGGCUCGAAAGCGUGGGGAGCAAACAGGAUUAGAUACCCCUGUAGUCCCUGUCUCUUAUAC